UACAGAGGCCACAAGCGUUAGUCGGAAUCACUGGGCUUAAAGGGUGCGUAGGCGGGCGUGUAAGCGUCUUGUGAAAUCCCACGGCUCAACCGUGGAACAGCAGGGCGAACUGCACGUCUUGAGGCAGGUAGGGGCCGCGAGAACAGUAGGUGGAGCGGUGAAAUGCGUAGAUAUCUACUGGAAUGCCGAUGGUGAAGACGCGCGGCUGGGCCUGUCCUGACGCUGAGGCACGAAAGCGUGGGGAGCAAACAGG
rnacentral:rRNA from 1 species